AGUGAACGCUGGCGGCGUGCUUAACACAUGCAAGUCGAACGAGAAACGGAUUUAGCUUGCUAAAUUGCAGUCUAAGUGGCGCACGGGUGAGUAGUGUAUAGGUAAUAUGCCUCUUACUAAGGGAUAACAAUUGGAAACGAUUGCUAAUACCUUAUAUGCCUUUAAUACGGAAGUAUGCAAGGGAAAGAUUUAUUGGUAAGAGAUUAGCCUGUAUGGUAUCAGUUAGUUGGUGAGGUAAUGGCUCACCAAGACAAUGACGCCUAACUGGUUUGAGAGGAUGAUCAGUCACACUGGAACCGAGACACGGUCCAGACUCCUACGGGAGGCAGCAGUGGGGAAUUUUGGACAAUGGACGCAAGUCUGAUCCAGCCAUUCCGCGUGCAGGAUGAAGGCCCUCGGGUUGUAAACUGCUUUUGUACAGAACGAAAAGGCUCUUCCUAAUACGAGGGGCUCAUGACGGUACUGUAAGAAUAAGCACCGGCUAACUACGUGCCAGCAGCCGCAGUAA
rnacentral:rRNA from 1 species